rnacentral:lncRNA from 1 species
CUUCCUCUUCCUGUGUGGGGUUUGUUGCGCCAUCAUAGGGGAGACAGCCUGGCCGUGGCCGUGGCCGGCCUUUGGAUUGAUCGCCGCAAUUGCUUCGAUUCCAACUACUACUACCUGGGAGUACUACUACUACUAUCCUCAUCCUUCUCUACCUUUUCUUCCCCUUUUGAUUUGAUUUGAUAGUGCAAGUAGUAGUAGUAUAGGAUCCGGCUUCAGUUUCCCCGCCCGCUUCGGCGUCGACUGCGCGGUUCGGUUUCCAUUUCGCGCGAUCCGAAUCAAGCGCCGCUCGAUUCCGGCGUCCUCAUCGUGAGCACCGGUGGACGGACGCGUUUCGUUUCUGGGCUCAAUUUUUCGUUUGCCUUGGGAGUUGAGAUUGCUUUUAAUUUCUGUUUCCCUGUCGGUUGGUGGGUUUCGAUUUUUGAAUUGACCGAGUAGUUGUGAUUUCUUGUCUUCAAUUAAUAUAAUGGACUGAUUGCUUCCUUCCUUCCAUGCUGAACUGGUCAGGUCAAGGCCAUACACACCCAGAGAUCUGAGGCGUCAGGAGCAGGAAGAGGAGGAGGAGGAGCCAGGGCAUGUGACGGCCCCCCUCGUCGGUGGACAUGUGCCCGGACAUGAAUCCACGAAGGUAGUGCUUCAUUCCCACGACUCCAUUGGUCUGAAUAGUAUACCGUUCAUACUAUGCACAUGUUCAGAUGCUCAGCGGGAGCUCUGCCUGAACACUGCCAACUGUGUAACCUCAGAUACACCUGCUCAUUACGUUAUUAUGUCUGAACAAGGCCAGCUGCAGCCUCAGACACUUAUUU